AAUGGGCGCAAGCCUGACCCAGCAACGCCGCGUGAAGGAAGAAGGCUUUCGGGUUGUAAACUUCUUUUAUCAGGGACGAAACAAAUGACGGUACCUGAUGAAUAAGCCACGGCUAACUACGUGCCAGCAGCCGCGGUAAUACGUAGGUGGCAAGCGUUAUCCGGAUUUACUGGGUGUAAAGGGCGUGUAGGCGGGACAGCAAGUCAGGUGUGAAAUUCCAGGGCUCAACCCUGGAACUGCAUUUGAAACUGUUGUUCUUGAGUGAUGGAGAGGCAGGCGGAAUUCCGAGUGUAGCGGUGAAAUGCGUAGAUAUUCGGAGGAACACCAGUGGCGAAGGCGGCCUGCUGGACAUUAACUGACGCUGAGGCGCGAAAGCGUGGGGAGCAAA
rnacentral:rRNA from 1 species